rnacentral:misc_RNA from 1 species
GUUAAUUAUAACCAACAACAAAAAGGUCCCGACCCUUACUAUAAUGACGAUCCAAACACAAUGAGCGAUGACGCAUACGCGGACCUGAACACACUAGGGGAGGCAAUCAAUCGGGUGAAGAGGCCCCUGGGAACAAGGAGAGCCCCGGGCCAACACUGCCAGCACAUCAAACUAAAAAAUCCAGACUUCAAAAAUGGGGAUUACUACAUCGACCCAAGCGACCGUGAUGUUCCAUCUGACCCAGCUCAAGUUCGAUGUAAUAUGACAAGCGGUGAAACAUGCAUUCAAGCCAGCGGAAAUGACGAGGGACAUCAACGCUGGACCAAGCAGGCAGGAGAGGCUCUUUGGUUUGGAGAGGACAUUUUAGGAGACAAAGAGUUUAACUACAAACUAUCAGACAGACAUUUCAAAUGGUUACAAAUGAGAAGCAGCUUCGCCAGACAGAAAAUAACUGUUGACUGUCGAAACGUUGACCCAGAAGGGGCCAAGUUCCGCUCUUUUGACGGUAAAAUCAUCAGCUCAUCUUCAAGGCGGCCACUCCAUGGAACAACAAUAACAGUGGACAAUAAGUGUACCGAGAAAAACAAUCGGUGGUCCGAGGCAGUAUUUACUAUUACUACAAGACGAACGGAAAUAUUACCAAUCGUAGACGUUCAGCUUAACGAUAUAGGACUGGAGAAUCAGGAAUUCGGUAUCAAAGUCGAUGAUGUUUGUUUUAAAGACGACGGGUAUUUAGGUGACAAUUAAAACUGAUCUUUGCACACAUCUAGUUUUUGAAUGAUAACUUGAAUAGUUGGAAAUCAUGACGAUGCAUCUCCAAAAACCGGUUUUUGAGAUCUUGGCAGUCUGCCAAAAAAGUAGGAAUAUAAGAUGGUCGAAGAAGAUUUUGUAUGUCAAAUUAAAAAUGAGGAUUUCAUGGAUCUUAUGGCACUUUUUUACAAUUCAAUUCCAGUCUAAUCAUGUUAUAUAGUUGUAAGUGUUAUGUGUGUGUUUUCGCUCAUUACACGACUUGAUCAUUCCGAAGAACUGAGUGAAAGGACAUUACUGCAAAACUGUGAUUUUUAUUGUGUGUUUGUAUUAUUUAUGUUCUUUUGUUAGUAGUCAUGACAGAUUCUUUCAUUAAACAUGUUUAAUAAAGAUUUUUUCCUACCUCUAAAUUGUAAAAGAGAAUCUUAUCAUAUUACGAUUACUACUAGGAAAUUCAAGUCAGAUAGUGAAUAAAUCAAAGACAUCUCUCAA